GUCUGCUGGGGAAAAUAUAAUCACCCUAGGGUUUCGACUAGGUGUGGUAUAUAAAUUUGUGCAAAAUGUGUUAGGUUUUCUGGAGAACCGGCAAUUCACUGACGCUGCAUCCAACGACCAACCAUGGGAGUCUUCACAUUCGUGUGCCGCCAUUCUGAUGGCCAGUGGAACGCUAAGCAGCUCUCCGAUGGUGACCUCGAGGCAUCCGCUUCCUCAACCUACGAGCUCCAGAGAAAGCUCGUCCAGACCGCUCUCUCCACCGACUCCUCCGGCGGUGUCCAGUCCUCUUUCUCUUUUGUCACCCCCACAUCCGCCGUAUUUCAGGUGAUCAUUGGUGGUGGUGGCGGUGGAGCUUUCUUUGGAGGAGGUGGUGCUGCUGCGGCAGCUCCAGCAGGAGGCGCAGCAGCUGCAGCUGAUGCACCCGCAGCUGAGGAAAAGAAGGAAGAGCCAGCGGAAGAGAGCGAUGAAGACAUGGGAUUUUCUCUCUUUGAUUAGAGAAUAUGAUAUGACAAGUAUCAAUCCUCCAUCUCAACCAAGGUGCAUGGACAGUACUCGGAGCGCAGUGUCAACAGCUUCAACCUUAACCCAAGAUGCUUAAACACAAAAGAGCUUGCAAAGGAUGAAGCCUUUGUGGAAACCUUGAGAGUUAGAUUUCAGUAUUUUGUAUUUCGUCCUGCAACAUAUAUUAGUUUUUUUUUAUUAGUUUUGAAUAGUGGUUGGAUGAACAAAUUGAAUUGGAUUAACUCGGAAAAAAGAAAUUAAAAAAAAAAUUUACAUAACUACAUAAAGCAGUUGCAUUGCUGGUGAGAAAUGAUAAUUUAAUUUAUGAUUCGUGUCGUAUUUCUAUUUGUUUGUCAUUCAUUGUCAAAUAUUGAUAUGAAAUUAUAAUGAUAUCAUCAUAUAACCUCUUGUGUAAUAUAAAAAAAGAAAAAAUUAAAGAAACUGAGAAAAAGAGGGCGCAAAUACUCACAAUUUCAAGCGUGGAAUAGUGCCAGUACGAAGAAAGGGAGAAAAC
rnacentral:misc_RNA from 1 species